AAGGAUAUAGCUCAGUGGUAGAGUGCAUCCUUAGCACGCAUGAGGUCCCGGGUUCAAUCUCCAGUACCUUUG
rnacentral:tRNA from 1 species